GGUCUGAUAGCUUAAUGGUGAGAGCGAACGCACCGGUUGAAGCGAUGGUCUGGAACAAUUUCCGCGUUUAAUGUGGGUUCGACUCCCAUUCAGGCCA